rnacentral:rRNA from 1 species
AACGAACGCUGGCGGCAGGCUUAACACAUGCAAGUCGAGCGCAUCCUUCGGGGUGAGCGGCGGACGGGUGAGUAACGCGUGGGAACGUGCCCUCUUCUACGGAAUAGCCUCGGGAAACUGAGAGUAAUGCCGUAUACGCCCGCAAGGGGAAAGAUUUAUCGGAGGAGGAUCGGCCCGCGUUGGAUUAGGUAGUUGGUGGGGUAACGGCCUACCAAGCCGACGAUCCAUAGCUGGCUUGAGAGGAUGAUCAGCCACACUGGGACUGAGACACGGCCCAGACUCCUACGGGAGGCAGCAGUGGGGAAUCUUGGACAAUGGGGGCAACCCUGAUCCAGCCAUGCCGCGUGAUCGAUGAAGGCCUUAGGGUUGUAAAGAUCUUUCAGCUGGGAAGAUAAUGACGGUACCAGCAGAAGAAGCCCCGGCUAACUCCGUG